UACGGGGGGGCAAGCGUUGUUCGGAAUUACUGGGCGUAAAGGGCUCGUAGGUGGCCAACUAAGUCAGACGUGAAAUCCCUCAGCUUAACUGGGGAACUGCGUCUGAUACUGGAUGGCUUGAGUUUGGGAGAGGGACGCGGAAUUCCAGGUGUAGCGGUGAAAUGCGUAGAUAUCUGGAGGAACACCGGUGGCGAAGGCGGCGUCCUGGACCAACACUGACACUGAUGAGCGAAAGCCAGGGGAGCAAACGGG
rnacentral:rRNA from 1 species